UGUUAACAAAUUCAUUAUUUCUAUUAUUAACAAUUGACAUCACAAAAUAAUCAAACAAUAACAUGUGACAUGUCACGUGUAUCUCAUGCUGACAUAUAAAGACUAUUUUUUAAUAAUAAAAAUAAAUAAAUAUUUUAACA
rnacentral:pre_miRNA from 1 species